UACGAAGGGGGCUAGCGUUGUUCGGAAUCACUGGGCGUAAAGGGCGCGUAGGCGGCUUUAUAAGUCGGGGGUGAAAGCCUGUGGCUCAACCACAGAACUGCCUUUGAUACUGAAGAUCUUGAGUCCGGGAGAGGUGAGUGGAACUGCGAGUGUAGAGGUGAAAUUCGUAGAUAUUCGCAAGAACACCAGUGGCGAAGGCGGCUCACUGGCCCGGUACUGACGCUGAGGUGCGAAAGCGUGGGGAGCAAACAGG
rnacentral:rRNA from 1 species